UAAAACGUACAGUAAAACACUAGUUUAGUUGUAUAUAUGAACAGUAUAAGAUAUAUUUAGACUUGUUAUUUCAUAAACUUUAAUUCUCAAAUAAUGUUUGUUUAUCAGUUUGACAAUUUAUUUGAACUUCAAAAUUGAAAGUAUAUAAUUUGAAGUUUCAAAAAUCAUUUUUUGAGUUUCUUCAAAAAUUUUUUCUCUCACAAAUUUUUAAUUUUAUUUUUAUCUCCAAACACAACUUGACCACUAAAUUCAUGAACUUUUAAAAGUUAUAAUUCAUGUCAAAAUUAAAAUAUAUAUGAUUCAUUCACCUCCGGUUGUAGCAGAUAAUCUGUUUUAUUUUCAAGUUGCUAAUAAAUUACCAACAAACAAUUAUUUUUUUUCUUCUAAUAAUUUCUUUUUAAUUUAUUGAUAUGUGAUUUUACAUGCAAGAAAGGCAUUAAGAGCAGUAAAAGGAUUAGUAAAAUUACAAGCAUUGGUUAGGGGUUGUUUGGCAAAAAAGGCAUUAAGAGCAUUAAAAGGAUUAGUAAAAUUACAAGCAAGUGCUACACUUCAUGGUAAGCAAGCAUUAAUGAGAGCACAAGCAAGUGUACGUGGUAAAAGAUGCUUCAUUAAAAAUCAAAAUUCACAACUUCAUCAUGCAAGAAAAUCACUUGUCACAAGGCUCGAAUAGUGGAAAAAGUCAACAAUGUGCAUGGAAUCUCUCAUGGAGUUUCACAUGUGAAAUUUGAAACUCCAACGCAAUGGUUAUUUUUUAAAAAACAUAGAGCCAAAAUGUGGCCCUUGAGGAACUUGAAAUUCUCAGGAAAGUGGCUAUUUUUCAAAGAUAGGGCCGAAAAAUGAAUAGUGGAUGCCAUUAUUUUGUAUAUUUCGAUACAUCAAGUUUAAAUUCUGAAUUUGCAUUUACAUACAGAACCCGCCCUAAAUCCGUCUCCGAUUUUUUGACUUUGUUACCAUUGAUUUAUAGGAUAUGUUUGAUGAAUUAAGAAGUGGAAGUACACUACAAAUGCCUAGAAGAAGGCUAUCAACAUCAUUUGAGGCUAAAAACAU